rnacentral:rRNA from 1 species
CAGUCGCCGCGGGAAUACGAAGGGGGCUAGCGUUGCUCGGAAUCACUGGGCGUAAAGGGUGCGUAGGCGGGUCUUUAAGUCAGAGGUGAAAUCCUGGAGCUCAACUCCAGAACUGCCUUUGAUACUGAGGAUCUUGAGUUCGGGAGAGGUGAGUGGAACUGCGAGUGUAGAGGUGAAAUUCGUAGAUAUUCGCAAGAACACCAGUGGCGAAGGCGGCUCACUGGCCCGAUACUGACGCUGAGGCACGAAAGCGUGGGGAGCAAACAGGAUUAGAUACCCCUGUAGUCCCUGUCUCUUAUAC